AUUAGCCAUGCAUGUCUCAGUGCAAGCCAAACUAAGGUGAAACCGCGAAUGGCUCAUUAAAUCAGUUAUGGUUCCUUAGAUCGUACCAAAUUACUUGGAUAACUGUGGUAAUUCUAGAGCUAAUACAUGCAAACAGAGUCCCGACCAGAAAUGGAAGGGACGCUUUUAUUAGAUCAAAACCAAUCGGUCGGCUCGUCCGGUCCGUUUGCCUUGGUGACUCUGAAUAACUUUGGGCUGAUCGCACGGUCCUGGUACCGGCGACGCAUCUUUCAAAUGUCUGCCUUAUCAACUGUCGAUGGUAGGUUCUGCGCCUACCAUGGUUGUAACGGGUAACGGGGAAUCAGGGUUCGAUUCCGGAGAGGGAGCCUGAGAAACGGCUACCACAUCCAAGGAAGGCAGCAGGCGCGCAAAUUACCCACUCCCGGCACGGGGAGGUAGUGACGAAAAAUAACGAUACGGGACUCAUCCGAGGCCCCGUAAUCGGAAUGAAUACACUUUAAAUCCUUUAAUGAGUAUCCAUUGGAGGGCAAGUCUGGUGCCAGCAGCCGCGGUAAUUCCAGCUCCAAUAGCGUAUAUUAAAGUUGUUGCGGUUAAAAAGCUCGUAGUUGGAUUUGUGUCCCACGCUGUCGGUUCAUCGCUCGUCGGUGUCUAACUGGCAUGAUUCGUGGGACGUCCUGCCGGUGGUGGCGAGUCGAAGGCGUGCAGCCUUAGUGGUUUCCACUUUGGGUCUUGUGCGCCGGAGGCGGACCCCGAUGAAAUCCUACCGCGGUGCUCUUUGCCGAGUGUCGAGGUGGGCCGGCACGUUUACUUUGAACAAAUUAGAGUGCUUAAAGCANGCCUGUUGCGCCUGAAUACUGUGUGCAUGGAAUAAUGGAAUAGGACCUCGGUUCUAUUUUUGUUGGUUUUCGGAACCCCGAGGUAAUGAUUAAUAGGGACAGGCGGGGGCAUUUCGUAUUGCGACGUUAAAGUGAAAUUCUUUGGAUCGUCCCAAGACGGAACCGAACCGAAGGCAUUUGCCCAGUAUGUUUUUCAUUAAUCAAGAACGAAAGCUUAUAGGUU
rnacentral:rRNA from 1 species